UCACUCUUCCGGUCGUUAACGACGCAACGCGUGAAGUGUCAAACGGAAGAGCACGUUGCUUCGAGAGUUCGUUUAGGCGCGUAGUACUGUGGUCACACGGUGCUCUUUCCUUGACCCAGAUUUUCCGUCCACGAAGGCGUCCAUUUGGCUGAGAAAAAUCGCGGCAAACUAGCGUACCCGAUUAUUUCAAAGUCGUACGGAAAAUAAGUGGAUGGGGAAAGAAGUAGGAGUAGUAGAAGGAGCAGCAGCAGUCAGUAGUAGUAGGAGGAGAAGGAGAAGAAGGAGGAGAAGGAGGAGGAGGAAGAAAUAACGAAAAUUAGCCUGCUCUGCGUGUGCCAACUUACGAUUUGGUACCCAACGGUCGGAGACUUCUUCUGUACUUCUCAGUCAAGCGUGUCAAGGUCGUACGAAGAGGCACAUAGUAGCGCUCGUCCAGAAUACGCGGCAGGUGUAGCGUGGCACGACCUGCACGCAUUUGCAUCUGAUCUUCUACACAAUUGCAAUGAAGGAGAAAAACAGGUGAAGAAGGAGAGAGAGAGAGAGAGAGAGAGAGAGAGAAGGAGAAAGACAGAGAAAGAAAGAGAGAGAAAGAAAUAACGACGCAACGAGACGAGGUAAGAGAGGUAAAAUUCCCGAGGUUGGUUUGUUAUAAAUCACUCGGUAAAACAUGAUUAGAGUUCGAUCGUUGAAAUUAAAUUGGAAGAAGGAAAGGAGCCAAGGAAUUUCAUGAAUUCGGAACACCGUAUAUUCACAGAUUAACUCGUUUCUAAGAUCUAGUGAUUAUAUCAUUAUUCAUAAAAUAUAAUAUAUAUAUAUAUGAUUAAAGUAAAUAACUCAAUAGUUUUCAGUAUCGAUAACAAUCUAAGAACGUAUUAACUUUAUAUGUUUAUUAAAAGAUUCAUUAGCUAAUACUAUUGAUUUCGAGAAUAGAUACUACUACAUACAAGUGUUACGAGACGACACUGUCUAUGAGUAGACGCAAUGCGUAAGUCACGAGAUUAUUGAUCUUUACCCAAAUGUUCUUGAAUAACUUGGAUAUUUCGUUACCGUAUAAUAUUUAAUAUUUACAUAUAAUAUAUCGCUAUAUAAUGUAAUAGAUAAAUAGAUAUAAGUGUAAUAUAAUAGAUAUGUGUUCUAAGGAAAAACGAGUUAGCAAAGGUUACUUCUUCGAACGUUAAAACUUUUAUAAACUAUAUCUAGAUGCUAAUUUAAAAUAACGACUAUGUCCGACUAUGAAAAUCAUUUCAAGUUGAUCUAACUUCGUGUUUUAUCUACAUGAUACAAUAUAUGAAAAGUCUGCGUCGUGCGGCUCGAAUCGCGAUUGGUCCUCGUAAUACCGCAUGCAUGUGUCUGAUCUAAGGAGAGGCUGCUGUACUUGUGAUAAAUUGAUCUUGGCUCUUUACCAUAUCCUAAGAAUAAUGUUUCGGUGCGUUGUCAUUAGUGAUUAACGUUUUCCGCUUUUAGUUGAAUAAAAUGAAAUUAAAAUAGAAUCGAUAGAUUUAUAUUGCGUAUUUAUGUUCGAUCGUUAUUAGACAGAUAAUAUUUCUCUUACAAUGAGAAAAUAAACCUAGGAAUACACAUACACA